CCUACGGGAGGCAGCAGUAGGGAAUCUUUCACAAUGGGCGAAAGCCUGAUGGAGCAACGCCGCGUGCAGGAUGAUGGCCUUCGGGUUGUAAACUGCUUUUAUAAGCGAGAAAUAUGAUGGUAACUUAUGAAUAAGGAUCGGCUAACUACGUGCCAGCAGCCGCGGUCAUACGUAGGAUCCGAGCAUUAUCCGGAGUGACUGGGUGUAAAGAGUUGCGUAGGUGGCAUAAUAAGUAGCUAGUGAAAUCUGGUGGCUCAACCAUUCAGACUAUUAGCUAAACUGUUAAGCUCGAGACCGUUAGGGGUAACUGGAAUUUCUAGUGUAGGAGUGAAAUCCGUAGAUAUUAGAAGGAACACCAAUAGCGUAGGCAGGUUGCUGGGACGGUUCUGACACUAAGGCACGAAAGCGUAGGGAGCAAACGGGAUUAGAUACCCGAGUAGUC
rnacentral:rRNA from 1 species